rnacentral:rRNA from 1 species
AGUGGCGGACGGGUGAGUAACACGUGGGAACGUGCCUUUAGGUUCGGAAUAAGCCCGGGAAACUGGGUCUAAUACCGGAUGUGCCCUUCGGGGGAAAGAUUUAUCGCCUUUAGAGCGGCCCGCGUCUGAUUAGCUAGUUGGUGGUGUAAUGGACCACCAAGGCGACGAUCAGUAGCUGGUCUGAGAGGAUGAUCAGCCACAUUGGGACUGAGACACGGCCCAAACUCCUACGGGAGGCAGCAGUGGGGAAUCUUGCGCAAUGGGCGAAAGCCUGACGCAGCCAUGCCGCGUGAAUGAUGAAGGUCUUAGGAUUGUAAAAUUCUUUCACCGGGGACGAUAAUGACGGUACCCGGAGAAGAAGCCCCGGCUAACUUCGUGCCAGCAGCCGCGGUAAUACGAAGGGGGCUAGCGUUGCUCGGAAUUACUGGGCGUAAAGGGAGCGUAGGCGGACAUUUAAGUCAGGGGUGAAAUCCCGGGGCUCAACCUCGGAACUGCCUUUGAUACUGGGUGUCUUGAGUGUGAUAGAGGUAUGUGGAACUCCGAGUGUAGAGGUGAAAUUCGUAGAUAUUCGGAAGAACACCAGUGGCGAAGGCGACGUACUGGAUCAUUACUGACGCUGAGGCUCGAAAGCGUGGGGAGCAAACAGGAUUAGAUACCCUGGUAGUCCACGCCGUAAACGAUGAUUGCUAGUUGUC